ACAAAAUCUAAUACAUCUACGGCUUUAAAAUCUUGUUUGCUUGCCUCAUUCCUAAAUAUGUAGUCUCAAUCCUGGUUAACAGCUUCGCUUAGGAAAUUUAUCGACUCAUGUAGUGCAUACAAUUAAGUGCAUAUGGAGCUAACCUUUUACGGUUCGCUUAAGUGCAAUGAGCACAAUAGUUUGUUUAGCAGAUGACAUUUCAAAGUAUUCGGUGCUCGACUCCACUCGGUUCGCUUUGUUAACCAAUGUGCCAUAAUCUAUACAAAGGAUGCUUUAUGUCUAGGGAUUUUCAUAGUCAUCUCUCUCUCACGCUCUGUCUCUGUCUCUGCCACUAUUGUUGUUUGCUUCGAGUCACGUUAAACAGGAUUCACUGUGCGCCAUUCGGAACACAACAAUAUGACAA